AUUGAACGCUGGCGGCAGGCCUAACACAUGCAAGUCGAACGGUAACAGGAAGAAGCUUGCUUCUUUGCUGACGAGUGGCGGACGGGUGAGUAAUGUCUGGGAAACCGCCUGAUGGAGGGGGAUAACUACUGGAAACGGUAGCUAAUACCGCAUAACGUCGCAAGACCAAAGAGGGGGACCUUCGGGCCUCUUGCCAUCGGAUGUGCCCAGAUGGGAUUAGCUAGUAGGUGGGGUAACGGCUCACCUAGGCGACGAUCCCUAGCUGGUCUGAGAGGAUGACCAGCCACACUGGAACUGAGACACGGUCCAGACUCCUACGGGAGGCAGCAGUGGGGAAUAUUGCACAAUGGGCGCAAGCCUGAUGCAGCCAUGCCGCGUGUAUGAAGAAGGCCUUCGGGUUGUAAAGUACUUUCAGCGGGGAGGAAGGGAGUAAAGUUAAUACCUUUACUCAUUGACGUUACCCGCAGAAGAAGCACCGGCUAACUCCGUGC
rnacentral:rRNA from 1 species